GCCCGAACAAGGAGAGGGACCAACUUCGGCAGAAGUUGUGACAGCGUCACUGGCAGGAAUCAGCAAAUUGUCUGUGGUAUCGAAGAGAGUGAGAUUAGGUGCGGACAACGAAGAUGGCAACAACAAGUAGUAAUUCAAACAUGAACUGUAUUAUGCCCGGCUGUAGAAAGUGGCUCCAAAAAAAUCCCUUGGUAAGCUACCAUCGGCUGCCCAAGGAUCCACAAAUUUUGAAGAAGUGGCUCCAUGUCCUGAAGAGGAAGGACGUGCCAGCUCGAGCUAGCGGGAUCAGCAGCCAGCACUUUGCGGAGGAUCAGCAGCCCAUCUACCUUCGCAAUAAAGGACACUUCCGAUGCGGAAACCAGGAGUUUCCAAAUGGAAGAGUCAUAGGACUAUGUUGAAGCGCUUUGCUUGCCCCUCCCUGUUUAAGGGUUAUGGUGUAGGGGUUACCGACCGAACAUCAUCAACAUCGCUGACUUCAGAGUCUAGCAAAAGCCGGACUGAAUGAAGGUGGCGACGGGAGUCAAUGGAGCCUGAGGAUCACAUCCGGCCAUGAUUGGAAGUCCCACAGCACAAUUGGCCCAGCUUCGUCCAGGUUUGGCCGGGGUAGGCCAUCAUUAUGCCCCAAUUGUUUUCUACCAACGGGAAAGAAUGGUUAGUACAGCAUGCCAAAUUGACCCGAGUGCUCCUGUGCUGUGGCGGAGAAGAGGUCCACCGGGUCCACCGAGGUCCACCAUCACUAAAGAGCUCAAGGCCCAGCUAGACUGCGCUCACGGCCAUCAGUAUACAACCGUGUCCAGCCCCUAUCUGCCACAGAUGGAUCUGAUGGAGAGUGAGAAUGAGAUUUUUUAUUUUUAUUUUACCUUUAUUUAACCAGGUAGGCAAGUUGAGAACAAGUUCUCAUUUACAAUUGCGACCUGGCCAAGAUAAAGCAAAGCAGUUCGACAGAUAAAACGACACAGAGUUACACAUGGAGUAAAAACAAACAUACAGUCAAUAAUGCAGUAUAAACAAGUCUAUAUACAAUGUGAGCAAAUGAGGUGAGAAGGGAGGUAAAGGCAAAAAAGGCCAUGAUGGCAAAGUAAAUACAAUAUAGCAAGUAAAAUACUGGAAUGGUAGUUUUGCCAUGGAAGAAUGUGCAAAGUAGAAAUAAAAAAAUAAUGGGGUGCAAAGGAGCAAAAUAAAUUAAUUAAUUAAAAUUAAAUACAGUUGGGAAAGAGGUAGUUGUUUGGGCUAAAUUAUAGGUGGGCUAUGUACAGGUGCAGUAAUCUGUGAGCUGCUCUGACAGUUGGUGCUUAAAGCUAGUGAGGGAGAUAAGUGUUUCCAGUUUCAGAGAUUUUUGUAGUUCGUUCCAGUCAGAUGAGUGAAGACCAGAACUCACUGUAUGAAUUGAUUGAUUGCUGAGCCGUGCUGUGCUGGAUGCGGUGUAUUCACUAACUGUCUGAGUGAUGUUACAUUUUUACAGUAUCUGUAACAUAUUUUGGUGUGUAUUUAAACUGUAAUUUAACGUCAUAAAGUGGCAAUCAGCAGUAGAAACAAUAACAAAGGGUCCUCACUGCUCCUCUUUCAGGGAAAAUGCUUAGGGAUCGGGGCUGGAGAAAUGUAACCACUCUCAAAUUCAUAGAGCUAUAGAUGCAAAGACUGACCAUCCAUCCAUUAUAGUUUUAACCAUGUUUUGAGGCUGCAUUGUGUUUGUUGAUAUUUUCUUUGGUUACAAACGUUUGGAGUAUAAUGAACUUUUAUUUGGGGUUUGACAGUUGAUCAAAGCUCACCAGGAAUUUCUAAGUUAGAUUCUUCAAGAAUCCGUGGUUACAUAUCAUACUUUUAUAAGUGCAACAAAAUGGAUGUAGUAACUGCUGAUUGCCCCUUUAAGGUAUGCCACUGUUUGUCUAUUGUGCAUGAGGCAAAGACUUGCAAUCACAAGCCUUUCAUGUGUAUCCUCUUUUUUGUUUAAUUGUAAAAACACCUUAAUAAUAACCCUGUAAUUGACUAUGUAUUUUUUUGUAAUCCUGUUUCUAUGAUCUGUUUCCACUACUAUGUAGCCAGGUCGAUUUGGAUAAAGGUGUUUGCUAAAUGGUAUAUAUUAUUAAAGUCUCCUUUGACUCUGCCAA